rnacentral:rRNA from 1 species
GUCGUCAGCUCGUGUCGUGAGAUGUUGGUUAAGUCCCGCAACGAGCGCAACCCUCGACCUUAGUUGCCAGCAUUCAGUUGGGCACUCUAAGGUGACUGCCGGCUAAAAGUCGGAGGAAGGUGGGGGAUGACGUCAAAUCAUCAUGCCCCUUAUGACCUGGGCUACACACGUGCUACAAUGGGCGGUACAAAGGGCCGCGAACCCGCGAGGGGGAGCCAACCCCAAAAAGCCGCUCUCAGUUCGGAUUGCAGGCUGCAACUCGCCUGCAUGAAGCCGGAAUCGCUAGUAAUCGCGGAUCAGCAUGCCGCGGUGAAUACGUUCCCGGGCCUU